rnacentral:rRNA from 1 species
GACGAACGCUGGCGGCGUGCUUAACACAUGCAAGUCGAGCGGUAAGGCCCUUUCGGGGUACGACGAGCGGCGAACGGGUGAGUAACACGUGGGUGACCUGCCCUCAGCUCUGGGAUAAGCCUGGGAAACUGGGUCUAAUACCGGAUAUGACCCCAUGACGCAUGUCGUGGGGUGGAAAGCCUUGUGCGGCUGAGGAUGGGCCCGCGGCCUAUCAGCUUGUUGGUGGGGUGAUGGCCUACCAAGGCGACGACGGGUAGCCGGCCUGAGAGGGCGACCGGCCACACUGGGACUGAGACACGGCCCAGACUCCUACGGGAGGCAGCAGUGGGGAAUCUUGCGCAAUGGGCGAAAGCCUGACGCAGCGACGCCGCGUGAGGGAUGACGGCCUCGG